GACGAACGCUGGCGGCGUGCUUAACACAUGCAAGUCGAACGGAAAGGCCCUGCUUUUGUGGGGUGCUCGAGUGGCGAACGGGUGAGUAACACGUGAGUAACCUGCCCUUGACUUUGGGAUAACUUCAGGAAACUGGGGCUAAUACCGGAUAGGAGCUCCUGCUGCAUGGUGGGGGUUGGAAAGUUUCGGCGGUUGGGGAUGGACUCGCGGCUUAUCAGCUUGUUGGUGGGGUAGUGGCUUACCAAGGCUUUGACGGGUAGCCGGCCUGAGAGGGUGACCGGCCACAUUGGGACUGAGAUACGGCCCAGACUCCUACGGGAGGCAGCAGUGGGGAAUAUUGCCCAAUGGGCGGAAGCCUGAUGCAGCAGCGCCGCGUGCGGAAUGACGGCCUUCGGGUUGUAAACCGCUUUCGCCUGUGACGAAGCGUGAGUGACGGUAAUGGGUAAAGAAGCACCGGCUAACUACGUG
rnacentral:rRNA from 1 species